GAGCAAGACUCCGUCUCAAAAAAAUAAAAAUAAGUAAAUAAAUAAAUAAAAAUAGUAAUUGAGUAAUUCAUAGGAAGAUAAACUUUCAUUACUGGAAAAUGAAAACAUUAUUAUCUUCAAUUUUGGAGAGAGAAUACCCUUUUUUAUUUAAGUAAAUGUUUGUAAUAAAAACUUAUCUAAUAAAAAUAAGGUGCUAUCUACUGAAGUGAUUAAUAUUCAGGUGACAGUGGAAAAUGAUUCGAUUUAUAUUGAUUUUAUCAGUCUACAUUUUUCUUCUGGAUGUAGGAAGCAGGUAAUUUGGACAUCAUAGUCUCUUAAAAAAGGUUGUGGAAUGAAAUAGUGUGUCUUGCCUUAAUUGGAUUAAAAUAGAAUUCUAUUGAGACUUUCUUUCUUAUUUCUCAUUUGGAAUGGAAGCUCAAGACACCUGGUGCAUUAUUUGAGUCUUGUGAGGGAUCAGUAGAAUAUCUUAAGCACAUGAUGACAGAAUACUGAAGACACAAUGGCUAAUUAAGUGUAGAAUAGUUCAAUUUUAUUUCAGGGAGACAGAUUCAUGUUUGUUUUCAAACUAAAUUCUUUGCUUAACUUCCUUGAUUCCACAAAAAUAUAAAACAUUAUUUCAAAGAGAAAUAUUUUGAGGCUAAUGAAGAACAUAUGCUACAUUGUAUUGUAAAUGAAUGCAAGAUGGCAUUGUUAAUUUGCUUCUAUUUUAGUUGUAGGCUUAUACUCAGGGAGACAUCUGGAUUAAAGGAGCUUUAUUUCUUCUGGGUGGGACACUAAUGUAAUUUUAUAGGUAAAUACAGUGGAAAACAUCAUGAAUAUACAAAUCUAAGGUAGAUGAUAAAAUUUAAUACCAGUUAGGCUUUAUUGAGUGGUUACUAAGUAGCAUUAUCUAAUUAUUUCCCAUAAUAAUACUAUGGUAGAGACACCAUUAUUAGUCUCAUUUUUCAAUGAAGAAACUGGGACUUUGAGAGUUCCUGAAACUUGCCCAAGGAAAUAUAUCUAAUAAGUAAUGUUUGCCAGUGCUUCUUAAACUUUAAUAUGCAUGCAGAUCACCCGUGGCUCUUGUUAAAAUGCAGAUUUUUAUUCAGUAGAUCAGGACAGAGAUAGUACAUUUCUUAUAAGCCACCAAGCAUAAGGUAAUGCUUAUGCUCCUGGUACAAAGACUAUACUUUGAGCAGCAAGAAUGUGAAAUUUGAAUGUGAAUUUGAUUGUGAAAUUCAAAUUCAGGUGUGUCUGGCUUCAAGAUCUACAUUCCUACUUAUUACAUAAAUACAUCCUUUGACCUAAAGAAGUGUAUAAUUAUACAAAGGAAGAAAUGAAGCUAAGUAGUAUUUUGUAAAGUUCUAUUCAUCCAUGCUGAAUAAGCAUUCGAUGAUCUAGAUAAUAGAAUAUUCUGGAAGGCUAUUAAUUUUUCAGUGAAUCCUGUAUCAAUUAACCAUUUUCAAAAGAAUGAUUUAGUGAAAGAAAAUAUAUGGUAUUUAAACAAUUUUCAUUUUUAUUUGAGUUUGGAAAAUUUUAAAACCUUCAUUAUUCUUCAGUAAACAUAAGAUAUCUUUGAAAAUAUAAAUGUAAACACUGUGAAAGAAAAAUAAAUGUAGCUGGUUGUUUUCUUAUAAGCCUACUAAAGAAAUUACUUAACAGUCUUUGAUAAUUCAGGUUUUUGAAAAAAGGAAGUUAAAAAGUGGAGGGUUUUUUGGUGAAAUUAUUGCUUUUUAGUAUCUGCAGUAAUUGUUAUUGUGCAUACAUGAACACAGAUUUUAUGUAUUUGAAGAUUAAAUUGUUAAUCCUAUCUUUUAUAAUAUUUUUGAAUAAAAAGUCAAUUUAACUUAUUGCCUUAUGUGCUAGCUUGUUUUUGUUUAUAUGUUUGACUCUAAACUACUUAUUGCAACUUUAUUUUACACUCAUUUGUGCUUUUGUCUUUUGAUCAGCUCCAUCUACCAGCCUUAUGAAGAGCUGAAAGAUAAAACGAUAUCAAAACCUUUUAGUUGCUAUCUCUUUGAUAGCAAUUUUGCUUUUUUUUUGUUGGGGGUGGGGGCUUGUUACUAUAUAAAAUCAUGUUAUGAUUCUGAUGACUCUUAUGUAUUAGGCCCUUACAGAAACUCUGUGAAGUAGACACAUUAAACAUUUAUACAUUCUUAUUUUAUAAAUGAGGAAAUUCAGAAGACCAAUGUUCUUAUCCAAGACUGUGUAGAUAGCAUGAGGUAGUGGUAGAAUUCAACUUUAUGACUUCUGUCUAAAAUCCAGUUUGUUCCCCUCUAAACCCACAUUCAUAAUUUGAACUAUUUUAUUUCCAAGAUGUGUCUGCUAAAUGACUUUUUUUUCUGACAUUUGCUACGUCUAUAUCUCAGGAACUGGCUCCCUGCAAUGAUUAUAUAACUAAUAUCAUUGGAUUAUUCUUAAGCAAUCUCAAAUCAAACAAUGUUUUGAAGCAAAAAAGAUAUAAUCAUUUAACAUUAUUAUGAACAUACAUUUCAGCUUGAACUAGGCUGAAAUAUCUGCAAGUGUUAAUGAACAAUUUACAGGAGAAAGCUUUUCAACAAAGCAAUCCAACCUCCAAUGCGGCCUUCUGAGAGAUGGAGAUAAAUGAAAUCUGUGGUCUCAUUGUUCACCAACCAGCCCAGCCAAGGGGAUCUACUCAGUAAAUGAAGGUCUCUAGGCAUUUUGCUCAAAGAAAAUAGGAUCAAGGUUAUAAUAAACAAAUUUUUCUGGUGACAUUUUCCAAUUAUGGCAUAUUCUGUCUCCCUCUGGUUGUCCUGGUAACUUUAAUUAAAGCUGCUCCAAUCUAUUUUGAAGCUUUAAAUACUGUAAUAUACUCCAACUCUUAAUUCAACCUUGAUAUUGAGCUUAUGAUUAGAUAACAAAAAAAGGAACAUGACAAAUGUUUUCAAGUGAUUUUUAAAGUAAGUUUUGUUUUUGUUUUCCUGGAAGUGCUAGAUGAUUGUUAUUUAACCAAAUAGUUUUUUUUUUCUUUAACUCUUAGGCCAGUCAUUCUAUAUCAUUUCUAUUUGUCAGCAGUGCCAGUAACAUUUUAGAAAAAUGUAGCUUUCUGGUCUUUAUCUGUAGGGAUUUUAACUAAAAAAUGUGGAAAGAAACUCAAGAAAAAUUAGAUACAAAGAAGUGAGAAGGGGAUCCAGGAAGGAAUUCUGAAAUUCUUUAGAGACUCAAAGAAGAAUACAAAAUUUAUCAUGUUUGGCUAUUAGGGGUCAUUGAUUUACUUUUGUGAGAAUAGAUUCAAUAGAAUAUACUGGAACAGAAUAAAGACUGUAGUGUUAAGGAGUUAUUGGAAAGUGAGACAUUGGCAAGAAAUUUAUCUGGAUUUUCAUGAAGUUUGGUAGGACAGUGAAGGAAAAUGUGGAGUACUACUAAAGAAUGUAUUUCUUUCUUGUCUAUUUUUGAGACUGGAGGACAUAUAAGCAUGCUUAUAGCUAGAAAAGCAGAAAUCCAUGAAAUUUGAAAAUAAGAAAAAAUAGUCUGAAUGUAGAAGGAUGAUUCCAGAAAAAGCAGACAGAGAAGAUCGAGGUCAUGCAAUUUUCUUUGAAAAGAUGGCGGAAUAUUUCACUUGGGACAGAAGGAAUAUUAUUAGAUAUAAAUAAAGACAGUUUUUGUUGAAGAUUUGGGAGAGCAAAGUAAGAAAAGGUGAAAGGAGUCUAUUAUGGGUAAGUAAAAUUACUGAGGAAUAAAAUCUAGGGCCUUCCUAACACUGAGAACAAUCAGAAGAUAUAAAACACCCUCAUGUUCUAAAAAUGAGGCCCAAUAAAAAUGAGGCCCAAGCUACAUAUGAAUUUCAAAGAGCUUUCUGAAAACUCUGUGUGUUUAUGUGGAUAUGCAUAUUUUGACCAUUAAUCCAGAAUCUAUCUGGAGGGUAUAAAUUAUCCAGGCCUUUGAGUCUGAGUGGUGAAGGGAUUAGGUAAUCCACUAAUUGUUUUGCAAAAUUGAGAUUACUUUUAUUUAUUUGGAUUUGAUACAUGCCUGUGGAUGUUAAAAGGGAAGUGCUAAGGCUCGACAUGUUUACCCAGUGACAGGGCAAUGAGACACGGCAUCAAGGGGCACAAACUUACAUAAAAACAAGGCAGUGAGAUGGAGCUGGUCUCAGAUAGGACCCAACAGGGCUUCCCUCCGGGAACAAAACUAGUUUAGCAGAAAGAGGGUAGAAAUACACUGUCAAAUGGGAGCUGAGGGGCUGGGGUUUAAAUGACCCUCAGAAGCAUGACAUUGCAAUUGAAUGUCCUGGGUACCUCCAAACAACUAGGAAAGUAUCUUAAUAAGGGAACAAGUCAGUGUUGAACAUCGAUCAGCCCCAGAGAGUAACAACACAUAAUUAUAGUCAAGAAAAGCCAUCCAUUGCCAACUUUCUCUUAGUGCCAUUGCUGAAAUCACCGUGUUUGAGCUGCUAAGAAGUGUCAAGAUGAAAUCAGGAGGAAAAACUCAGAGAGUGGCCAUAGACCUCUACCACAUUCUCCAUCUGAAGUUUCUUGGUCUGAAGCAGUACUAACCUGUUAGUAGAACAUCAGAAUCAUGUGGAGAUGCCUUGAAAUGUAGUGCAGGUGCCAACUAAGGAGAUGUGCAUGUUUUCUGCUGACAGCGAAAGGCCAAGUAGGGCCUACGACACUGUAUGUUAACAUCUUAUUCAUUGUAUGAGCAGGAAGUGAUGCUUGUAGCCCUUUACACCUUAAUAUAUGGUUUAUAACAUUUGUCCACGCACCUUGGCAUUUGGUGAGUGUCUAUUUUACUGUUUUCUUUAGGUGGUUAAAAGCUGGUUGUGAGGGGUUUAGGUUGAUAUAAAAACGCUCUAUUUUCUUCCACUUAAUAAAUAAUAGGCUAUCAGAAUUUUCACUCAGAACAUCAGGUUUUUCUGAAGCAGAUUACUGCUUAAGUGGGAGAUACCUGUCCUGCUUGAUAUCAUUUGUUAAUGUGGUAAAUGGAAAGCCCCAGAUACACCAUCACAUUUCCUCUCUUACGUUACACACUGGAGCAGCAUCUUUAUGGAUUUUUAAGUCUAAAAUAAUUAUAAUGGUAGGAAUUUGGGGCCAAACAGAAGUGAUGGUGAAACACUAAGUGCUGUGUUUACGACCUCUUGAAUUACACUAAGGAGACAGAUCCAUAUACCUGUAACUGUGCUAUACUCUCUACCGCACUCAGCAUUUUAAUUUUCGUAACAUUUUGUUCUGAUUAAUGUAUUAUUUAAAGGUUAGCAGUGAAGUUUUUUUUUUUUUAAAACAACUCCUUCCUUCCUUCUUCUUUUUUUUUUUUUGGAGUUUGGCUCUUGUUGCCCAGGCUGGAGUGUAAUGGCGCGAUCUUGGCUCACUGCAAACUCCACCUCCCGGGUUCAAAGGAUUCCCCUGCCUCAGCCUCCCGAGUAGCUGGGAUUACAGGCACCCACCACAACACCCAGCUAAUUUUUGUAUUUUUAGUAGAGAUGCGGGUUUCACCAUGUUAGCCAGGCUGGUCUCAAACUCCUGACCUCAAGUGAUCCGCCCACCUCAGCCUCCCAAAGUGCGGGGAUUACAGGCGUGAGCCACCAUGCCCAGCCAACCACACUUUCUGUUUUAAAUCUCUCAGUGCUAGAGAGUGCAUUUUCCUCCCACAUUCCAUGGAGUAGUGUCAGCACUAAAUGAGUAUUUGAACAAAGGCACUUUUGAAAAAAAUGUGGUAAUCAAAUAUACCUUUAAGAUAGAAAGCACAAUUAAUGGUAGAGGGCACCUAAUUAUUUAAUGGAAGGUUCAGACAAGGAAAGGGUUGGGGCAACAGUGAUAGGCUCUGUCUUCUAAAUGAAAUCUCUUGGAAAUGAGAUUCUUUGAGUUGGCUUUAGGAUCAGAAAGCACUAUCUAAUGUAAAAUUUAUGUUCUGGUAAUGCAGCAUGGGGGAAAGGGAGUGUUGGGUUUGUAAUUACUUUGAGCAAAAUGAGAAUUAGCUCAAGUGGCUUGCAAAACUCACACAGGCAAAAACUACACAAUUUGUAGAGCCUAGUACAAAAUGUAAAUUUGAGGCUCUUGUUAAGAAAUUAUUAGAAUUUCAAAAUGGCAGCAUCAGAGAAUGAAACCAAACAUGGGGUCCUUCUGAAUGUGGAGUCCUCACUGAGUCAGUCAGCCUCGUCUGACUGCACAGGUCUCACACCCACCAAAGCUGGCUGGUCCUGCGCAUAGGUCGUUAGUGGUAGAGCUAGAACCAGAACUUGGGAUUCUCAGCUACUUGUACAGUGUUCUUUCUAUGAUGAUAGUCAUCAAACUUUACUUGGGGACUUGAGAGUCUGUGAAAUCCUUGAUGAUUGUUGAAAGAUAAUCCCAAAGUGAGGCAAAAAAAGAAAAAAAUCCGUAUGUCAUUUCACCUCUUUUUUUUUUUU
rnacentral:lncRNA from 1 species